UUGUAUACGUGGGGAGAUAAAUUGGAGCAUAAUGCUGCUGCGUUCAUUACUACAUUUAUUUCUGUAUCAUAUUUAUUAUUAUUCCUCGCUGAACUUUUUCUGUUCUCAUUGCACUGAUAUUUAAUGCAAUUUAAAAGUGUUUGCACACAGCCUUCAUCCAGGCUUUCAUUGCAAAUGCUUUGCUGAGCUCUCCAUAUUCCCAGGCUGAUUCACAGAGGUUCAGUGCAAUGCAGGUCCCAUUUCCAGCCCUGGGUUAAUGCUUGGAUAGGUUGAAAUUUGUUACUGUGUUUACUACAACUGUGGUAUAACAGUAUCUUCAGUGAUAAGUGUAGUUUCUCUGUGCUGAUACGUUCUGAGAAACACUGCCAGAACAUAGAUAAAGGAGAGCAUAUGGAUCUGUAAUAGACAUAAUAAAAAUGGGAAAGGAAGAGAUUUACAGCAACAGAAACCCAUUGUGGUUUGGAUGAGCAACGAAUGAAGUUUCAGAUCAUUCAGCUUUGGUUUCAUCUAAUUUCCUCAGUAACUCCUACUGAGCUACUUGCCUGAGGCAGAGUGAAGGGGACCAGAACUGUGGGUCCAUGUGGGAAAGCCUGACAACAGAAACUUGGUGUACAUGAAGUGUGAGCAUUAGAAAGCCUGGCAUAUGUGGAUGUUCAGGCCUCUGACCCUCACUAAGAGCAGCUCAACUAUUCUCCUGCUUAAGCUGAUUGCACCACCUCUCUGUUCCCCAGCAUGCAGCCUUGCUUCAUACACCUGCAGAAGUAAAGGCAGGUAAGUCCUGAUGUGGUGCUCUGAUACAGUACAUGCAGCUCAUUUCAGUUUGCUUUCUGAAUCAAAAAAUACUGGAUAUUUUCUGCUUUACAAAGGGAGAAUACAGCAGAAGGACUGACUACAAGGCAGACAGCUAGGAAAACACAGAUUGACAAAAGAGAAAAGGCAUUGUCUGGUAUUUUAAGAAAUCUUCAGUAGAAAGUGUUGGUAGAGAG
rnacentral:lncRNA from 1 species